CUACGGGAGGCAGCAGUGGGGAAUAUUGGACAAUGGGCGAAAGCCUGAUCCAGCCAUGCCGCGUGGGUGAAGAAGGCCCUAGGGUUGUAAAGCCCUUUCGGCGGGGACGAUGAUGACGGUACCCGCAGAAGAAGCCCCGGCUAACUUCGUGCCAGCAGCCGCGGUAAUACGAAGGGGGCUAGCGUUGCUCGGAAUUACUGGGCGUAAAGGGCGCGUAGGCGGCCAUAUCAGUCAGGUGUGAAACCCCUGGGCUCAACCUAGGAACUGCACUUGAGACGGUAUGGCUUGAGGUCGAGAGAGGAUGGUGGAACUCCCAGUGUAGAGGUGAAAUUCGUAGAUAUUGGGAAGAACACCGGUGGCGAAGGCGGCCAUCUGGCUCGAUCCUGACGCUGAGGCGCGAAAGCGUGGGGAGCAAACAGGAUUAGAAACCCCGGUAGUCC
rnacentral:rRNA from 1 species